GUAUAUAUUAAAUAGGCACAACAUUCUAUUGACAUACAUUGGGGUAAAUGAAACGACAUAGACCUGAAAAGGUCUACAAAAGGUGCACAGGUGGAGAUAUAAAAAUGACAAGGCGUGCACAUGCUCCCUAGAGAACCAGCAACAACCCAUCAGGUUUAUUUCAAUAAUGAUCCUUCCGCAGGUUCACCUACGGAAA
rnacentral:misc_RNA from 1 species